rnacentral:rRNA from 1 species
GAUGAACGCUGGCGGCGUGCCUAAUACAUGCAAGUCGAGCGAACGGACGAGAAGCUUGCUUCUCUGAUGUUAGCGGCGGACGGGUGAGUAACACGUGGAUAACCUACCUAUAAGACUGGGAUAACUUCGGGAAACCGGAGCUAAUACCGGAUAAUAUUUUGAACCGCAUGGUUCAAAAGUGAAAGACGGUCUUGCUGUCACUUAUAGAUGGAUCCGCGCUGCAUUAGCUAGUUGGUAAAGUAACGGCUUACCAAGGCAACGAUGCAUAGCCGACCUGAGGGGGUGAUCGGCCACACUGGAACUGAGACACGGUCCAGACUCCUACGGGAGGCAGCAGUAGGGAAUCUUCCGCAAUGGGCGAAAGCCUGACGGAGCAACGCCGCGUGAGUGAUGAAGGUCUUCGGAUCGUAAAACUCUGUUAUUAGGGAAGAACAUAUGUGUAAGUAACUGUGCACAUCUUGACGGUACCUAAUCAGAAAGCCACGGCUAACUACGUG